UGUGAUUCAUCUUGUUUUAGUUUAGACUCUGGCUGCAGAAUUCUGGACUAGCUGUAGUUGUCUUAUAGACUGGAUGGCUGGUAAUGAAAGUGUGAGGGUUCUGCUUUGUCUUCAUGCCACUGGCACCAGCCUGCAGGCUUAGCACAAGAGACUGCAUUCACCUCACAUGACCAAACCCUCCACUCCAUUAAGCUUCCAAAGGACAAGUGAAAGAUCUGGUCGGCAGCCAUGGCCUGAGCCGAUGCCACGGCAGCUACUCGCCUCCCCCCCGGCUGGGGCCAACUCCCUCCCCCUUGGCCCCUCAGGAGCAGCCUGAUGAAACUUAAAUGAGUCCGUCUUAAAAAAACACUCCGCUCCAUUAGCACAUCCACUUGACUGGGAGAGCCUCGGCGGCGACAGUUCUGUGUGAACUCAGGGCAGCAGGAAGGAGCGGUAUAGUGGAUCCACAGACAGGCUCACUCCAGGACAGCUGCUCUCCUUGAAUACCGAUGGAGACAAAAAAAAAAAAAAGACGUGAUGAGUCACUGCCUUUUCAAGUUUCUCAUCUUGUCUUCUCAAGGUUUAAGGUUCGUCUCCAGGGAAGCCGCCAAUAUGAAUCUCAAGCUAACCUCAGGCCAAACUCUCGUUCACAAGUCAUCAGACUCUUUAUGCAAUUCUCCUGUGCAUUCAUUCCAGCUGCACUACAGCUGAUGCUAAUGGCUCAGUAAUCAUACAGGCUUUGGUACAUUAUGUUCUUGUGUGUGUGUGUGUGUGUGUGUGUGUGUGUGUGUGUGUGUGUGCAUGCUUGGAGGUUGAAUAAUGUUACUAUCACAUGUGAUCUCCUCAGUCCUUCACGCAAAUUACAGAAACAUAUUUUCUCACUCACUUUUACUGGCCAUGCAGAUGGUUUUGCUUUUAUUCAACCAGGUUCUGAGAUAUCUGCCUCCAACCCGACACAUUGGAGGUAUAUGGAAUUUACUUUGCAGUGCUCAAAGCAUUUAAAAAUGAAAAUUCAACAGCAAAGUGUCCUGUUAUGCACAAUGUGGCUAAAAUGACUCAUCGGCAGAUACACUUUGUGAUUAGACUAGAGCAAGCAAAGCUAAAGUAGUUACACCUGUUCCAGUCGGUUGCACUCAAAAGCAGAGGCGAGAAGGCUGCUAUCAUAGCCUCAUCCUGGCUGCAACACAUUGCUUUCCCAAUCUUUCCCCAAAAUGUCCUUUGUA